rnacentral:rRNA from 1 species
AUUGAACGCUGGCGGCAGGCCUACCACAUGCACGUCGAACGAGUGGCGGACGGGUGAGUAAUGUCUGGGAAACUGCCCGAUGGAGGGGUAUCACUACUGGAAACGGUAUCUAAUACCGCCUACCAUCGGAUGUGCCCAGAUGGGAUUAGCUAGUGGGUGGGGUAACGGCUCACCUAGGCGACGCUCCCUAGCUGGUCUGAGAGGAUGACCAGCCACACUGGAACGGAGACACGGUCCAGACUCCUACGGGAGGAAGCAGUGGGGAAUAUUGAACAAUGGGCGCAAGCCUGAUGCAGCCAUGCCGCGUGUAUGAAGAAGGCCUUCGGGUUGUAAAGUACUUUCAGCGAGGAGGCGUUACUCGCAGAAGAAGCACCGGCUAACUCCGUGCCAGCAGCCGCGGUAAUUC